AGGACGGACCUGCGUGGUGCUAACACGCCACCCCCAAG
rnacentral:tRNA from 1 species